rnacentral:rRNA from 1 species
GAUGAACGCUGGCGGCGUGCCUAAUACAUGCAAGUCGAGCGAACAGACGAGGAGCUUGCUCCUUUGACGUUAGCGGCGGACGGGUGAGUAACACGUGGGUAACCUACCUAUAAGACUGGGAUAACUUCGGGAAACCGGAGCUAAUACCGGAUAAUAUUUCGAACCGCAUGGUUCGAUAGUGAAAGAUGGCUCUGCUAUCACUUAUAGAUGGACCUGCGCCGUAUUAGCUAGUUGGUAAGGUAACGGCUUACCAAGGCAACGAUACGUAGCCGACCUGAGAGGGAGAUCGGCCACACUGGAACUGAGACACGGUCCAGACUCCUACGGGAGGCAGCAGUAGGGAAUCUUCCGCAAUGGGCGAAAGCCUGACGGAGCAACGCCGCGUGAGUGAUGAAGGUCUUCGGAUCGUAAAACUCUGUUAUUAGGGAAGAACAAACGUGUAAGUAACUGUGCACGUCUUGACGGUACCUAAUCAGAAAGCCACGGCUAACUACGUG